rnacentral:rRNA from 1 species
UACAGAGGGGGCAAGCGUUAUUCGGAAUUAUUGGGCGUAAAGGGCGCGUAGGCGGCUUGGCAAGUGGAUGGUGAAAUCCCUCGGCUUAACCGAGGAACUGCCAUCCAGACUGCUUUGCUUGAGGCCGGGAGAGGUGAGUGGAAUUCCCAGUGUAGCGGUGAAAUGCGUAGAUAUUGGGGAGGAACACCAGUGGCGAAGGCGGCUCACUGGACCGGUACUGACGCUGAGGAGCGAAAGCGUGGGGAGCGAACAGG